CCUACGGGAGGCUGCAGUGAGGAAUAUUGGUCAAUGGACGAGAGUCUGAACCAGCCAAGUAGCGUGAAGGAUGACUGCCCUAUGGGUUGUAAACUUCUUUUAUAUGGGAAUAAAAUGUUCCACGUGUGGGAUUUUGUAUGUACCAUAUGAAUAAGGAUCGGCUAACUCCGUGCCAGCAGCCGCGGUAAUACGGAGGAUCCGAGCGUUAUCCGGAUUUAUUGGGUUUAAAGGGAGCGUAGGUGGAUGGUUAAGUCAGUUGUGAAAGUUUGCGGCUCACCCGUAAAAUUGCAGUUGAAACUGGCAGUCUUGAGUACAGUAGAGGUGGGCGGAAUUCGUGGUGUAGCGGUGAAAUGCUUAGAUAUCACGAAGAACUCCGAUUGCGAAGGCAGUUCACUGGACUGCAACUGACACUGAGGCUCGAAAGUGUGGGUAUCAAACAGGAUUAGAUACCCCUGUAGUC
rnacentral:rRNA from 1 species